CUGAAAUCAUUUAAUAGCCUGACGCACAAGGAAAGGUUUUGUCAAAUCCUCCCAAGCAUUAAGCUUAAAUAGAAAAAAAACAAAGUUGUCAUUAUGCACAAUCUCAAGAACGGCAAAGGAACCACAACAAAGUGUUGCCUCUGCACCGUCCAAUUCGUUCCAAAUCAUAACGAAGGCCGUCCAAGCUGGACAUCGUAAACGACCCCCUUAUGAGUCCAUCAAGCAAUAUGAUCCAAUCUACCACACAUCUCUGGCCAUAGCACAUCCUCCUCAUGCACACCCAAGGUCACCUCCUGAAACCGUUUCACUGG